rnacentral:rRNA from 1 species
GGCCCUACGGGAGGCAGCAGUAGGGAAUCUUCGGCAAUGGGCGAAAGCCUGACCGAGCAACGCCGCGUGAAUGAAGAAGGCCUUCGGGUUGUAAAGCUCUUUAAUCAGGGACGAAGAAUGACGGUACCUGAAGAAUAAGCUCCGGCUAACUACGUGCCAGCAGCCGCGGUAAUACGUAGGGAGCAAGCGUUAUCCGGAUUUACUGGGUGUAAAGGGCGUGUAGGCGGGCCUGCAAGUCAGAAGUGAAAUCUGGGGGCUUAACCCCCAAACUGCUUUUGAAACUGUGGGUCUUGAGUGAUGGAGAG